UACGGAGGAUCCAAGCGUUAUCCGGAAUCAUUGGGUUUAAAGGGUCCGUAGGCGGUUUGGUAAGUCAGUGGUGAAAGCCCAUCGCUCAACGGUGGAACGGCCAUUGAUACUGCUAGACUUGAAUUGUUAGGAAGUAACUAGAAUAUGUAGUGUAGCGGUGAGAUGCUUAGAGAUUACAUGGAAUACCAAUUGCGAAGGCAGGUUACUACUAAUGGAUUGACGCUGAUGGACGAAAGCGUGGGUAGCGAACAGG
rnacentral:rRNA from 1 species